GAGAUCCGCUCAAAGUCACGCGGCAACCAUAAAACAUAAAAUGAUGAUUUUCUCGCUAACCAAACAAAUAAAAUCCCACCAUACAGACGACACCCGUAAACCACCCCACAAGAAAAGGCACGAAACCCAAAUACAUCCUACCUAGCGAUUCCGCUGGUACUUGUCCCCCCUCGUUACUCACUCCAGCUUACUCUGGAUUCUGAACUUUCGACCCUUGAAGAUCACCCAACAAUGGCGGAUCAUGAUCUCUCCUCCCCUCUCCUCCCGUCCCAGCCUUCCCAUUCCCAGCACCUGACCCUCAUCGUCAACGACUCCGACUUCGCCAAUAAUUCUAACGACAAAAUCACCACCAAUGACAACAAUGGUAAUAAUCACGACGGUUUGAAUUCUCACUCUCACAACAACAACAGAAAACCGUUUGACGUUAUAGGGUCCAAGGGACUGGAAGUACCCGGACCGUCCACGUUGGACCCGUUCCGCAACGAAACUCUGAGGAUCGUCGGUCUGUACGAGUGGGUGAAGAUCGUGGUUUGCUUGCCGAUUGCGGCGGUGAGGCUCGUUCUGUUCGGGGUUUGCUUGCUGCUGGGGUUUCUGGCGACGAAGGUGGCGCUGCAGGGUUGGAAGGACAUCCAUAAUCCCCUGCCGAGGUGGAGGUCUAGGAUCAUGUGGGUCACUAGGAUUUGUGCCAGGUGUAUUCUCUUCUCUUUUGGCUAUCAUUGGAUAAGACGGAAAGGAAAACCUGCUCCGAGGGAGAUUGCUCCGAUAGUUGUAUCUAAUCAUGUGUCAUACAUUGAACCUAUCUUCUAUUUCUAUGAAUUAUUCCCAACCAUUGUAGCAGCCGAGUCCCAUGAUUCCAUACCAUUGGUUGGAACCAUUAUCAGAGCGAUGCAGGUGAUAUACGUCAAUAGAUUCUCACCGUCAUCAAGGAAGCUUGCCAUUAAUGAAAUAAAGAGAAAGGCUUCUUGCGAUAGAUUUCCCCGAUUACUAUUAUUUCCCGAGGGUACCACAACUAAUGGAAGGGUCCUCAUCUCAUUCCAACUUGGUGCAUUCAUCCCAGGAUACCCAAUCCAACCCGUGGUUGUCCGCUAUCCUCACAUACACUUUGACCAAUCAUGGGGGAAUAUCUCUUUGGCAAAGCUUAUGUUUAGAAUGUUCACGCAGUUUCACAAUUUUAUGGAGGUGGAAUACCUUCCUAUAGUUCCACCUGGCACUAAUGGAAAAGAAAUUGCUAUUCACUUGGCUCAGAAGACUAGCCAUGCUAUUGCAACUGCACUUAAUGUUGCACAAACGUCUCAUUCCUACGGGGACUUAAUGCUUCUAACGAAAGUGUUGGAGUCGAGACAGGAAUAUCCUUCGAGUUAUAUGGUUGAAAUGGCUAGGGUGGAAUCGUUGUUUCGUAUAAGCAGCUUGGAAGCUGUAGGUUUUCUGGAUAAAUUUCUGUCGAUGAAUCCAAACCCAGGUGGUCGUGUUCAAUUCCACGACUUCUUGAGUGUUCUAAGACUAAAGGCUUGUACCCUUUCUGAAGAGGUGGUGGUCAGUAGAUUCCCAAUUGAUCUUCCAUUGGUGACUGCUUAGGGUUUCCCCCCACACUCUUCUCCCUUGACUACAUAACUUAAGGAUCAAUCUUUUCCUGGUUGAUGUUAUUGUAUUAUAGCAUUGUUAGAAUGUUUUUUCUUUAGCUCGAACCAAUAUGCUUUGUGGUGAGAUAGAAAUAAGUAUAAUGAAACAUGCAGGAGCAAAUGCCAGUUUCUGGCAAGGAUAGAACCCCUAGGGGUUGGUUCAAGUGGUAAGAGGUUUGAUCUUGGUGGUAUGCUCCCUCCAAGUCUAAUUUCGAACCCUUGGGUGCAGACAAUUUCUAAUGGCCAUCCCUUGUAUUACCCAAAGUGCACUUGAGAGAGACUCUUUGUCGAGUGCCUGUGCACCCCUGGAAUUAGUCGGAACUUUGUUCCGGACACCCGGUGCCAAUAAUAAAAAAGAAGUUUCUGGCAAGGAUAGAAGGUGUUUACCUUGGUAGGAAAAAACUUAUCAAAUAUUAGUGUAUAUAUUCAAUUUUAUUUCUUGUUCUAUUGUAAAUAGUAAAAGAAUAAAAAAAUUAUUGUUAGCCUUAUUGAACAAUAAAUUGUCUCUUUGAACCGCACUGAUUCUUGAUGGUUUAUACAACUCAACUAAACACAAGCCUUAAUCACAAGUAAUUGGGGUCAGCUAGAAGAACCCUUUUCCACAAAAAUUUCCUCGUCCUUGAUAAAAAUUGUUUUACCUGUUUCCAUUUUUCUUGUAAACUGAAUUAAUUCUGGAUUAUAGAUAUUUGCAUUUGUUGAUGUGGA